rnacentral:rRNA from 1 species
GGUUGCGAUUAUACCAGCAGUAAUGCACCGGAUCCCACCAGAACUCCGAAGUUAAACGUUCUUGAGCGAGAGUAGUACUAAGAUGGGUGACUGAUGUGUGCUACUUGUGUUAGCUACAA